rnacentral:rRNA from 1 species
UACGGAGGGAGCUAGCGUUGUUCGGAAUUACUGGGCGUAAAGCGCACGUAGGCGGCUUUGUAAGUUAGAGGUGAAAGCCCGGGGCUCAACUCCGGAACUGCCUUUAAGACUGCAUCGCUUGAAUCCGGGAGAGGUGAGUGGAAUUCCGAGUGUAGAGGUGAAAUUCGUAGAUAUUCGCAAGAACACCAGUGGCGAAGGCGGCUCACUGGCCCGGUACUGACGCUGAGGUGCGAAAGCGUGGGGAGCAAACGGG